rnacentral:rRNA from 1 species
GUCGGCCUACGGGGGGCAGCAGUAGGGAAUCUUCCACAAUGGACGAAAGUCUGAUGGAGCAACGCCGCGUGAGUGAAGAAGGCCUUCGGGUUGUAAAGCUCUUUAAUCAGGGACGAAGAAUGACGGUACCUGAAGAAUAAGCUCCGGCUAACUACGUGCCAGCAGCCGCGGUAAUACGGAGGAUGCGAGCGUUAUCCGGAUUUAUUGGGUUUAAAGGGUGCGUAGGCGGAAUAUCAAGUCAGCGGUAAAAAUUCGGGGCUCAACCCCGUCGUGCCGUUGAAACUGAUGUUCUUGAGUAGGCGAGA